GACGAACGCUGGCGGCGUGCCUAAUACAUGCAGGUCGAGCGCAGGAAACUGACGGAACUCUUCGGAGGGAAGGCAGUGGAAUGAGCGGCGGACGGGUGAGUAACACGUAAGGAACCUGCCUCAAGGAUUGGGAUAACUCCGAGAAAUCGGAGCUAAUACCGGAUAGUUCAUCGGACCGCAUGGUCCGUUGAUGAAAGGCGCUCCGGCGUCACCUUGAGAUGGCCUUGCGGUGCAUUAGCUAGUUGGUGGGGUAACGGCCCACCAAGGCGGCGAUGCAUAGCCGACCUGGGAGGGUGAUCGGCCACACUAGGACUGAGACACGGCCCAGACUCCUACGGGAGGCAGCAGUAGGGAAUCUUCCACAAUGGACGAAAGUCUGAUGGAGCAACGCCGCGUGAGUGAUGAAGGUUUUCGGAUCGUAAAACUCUGUUGUAAGGGAAGAACACGUACGAGAGGGAAUGCUCGUACCUUGACGGUACCUUACGAGAAAGCCACGGCUAACUACGUGCCAGCAGCCGCCGUAA
rnacentral:rRNA from 1 species